rnacentral:lncRNA from 1 species
UUUCAAUAUUUUCUGCUAAAUAUAUUUCGGCGCACUGUUUAUCUAGGGUUUCAGCUUUCAGACCUUUAUGUACUUUUGUCACCUUGAGGCUGUUCCACUGAAAAAUGGGGUAUGUUUAUUAAAGAGGACUUUCUGUGCUGGGCCCUAAGGUAGUGGGAAUGUCUGUUUGGGUCUGUCUGUAUGAGGAGGGCUUCAAGGGGAGGCCCAAGUCCAAGGCACGUUUGAUUUGUGGAGCCCUUUUGACAAUGCAGGCCCAACAUAGCUCAGACGAACCCUUUAAUACAGCAGAAUGUUGAACCAAAUGAGUAUUUCUUCCUAAGUGCACGGCUGACAUGGAGGCCCAGACAGGAGAGACUGAAAAUGCCCCAGCUUCCUGGGACUUCGCUGUGAUUGCUUUUAAUGCGCCUCUCCCUGGGUGUCUGCUUAUGAUUGUCACGGCAAUUCUGGCCAGGGUGACGCGCUCUGUCUCACUGGAAUUUCCUGACUUCAAGUAGCCCCUUCCAAAUAAAUAAAUUAAUCAAUAAAAGCCAUCUGCUUCACCUGGCCGGCAGGCACAGCACUGGAAGGGGUGGCGCUGAACGCGAUUUUUUAGGAGCGGUUGGCCCUUGAGACGUUUCGAGGACGACAACAGAGGGGCGUCGCUGGUGCGGCCCCUCUGCACCAGGACCUGAGGAGCCGGCUUCCCAGAAGCCCGUGGAUUAGGAAGGUCUGCUGGGGCUGCUUCAGGAGCUGGCGGCAUCAGGAAUUAAUGGAGGACGUCAUGGAGUCCCUCACCUUGGAUACUGGCUUCUCAAAGCAUUCCUGUGGCGGUUAAUUGUUGCUUCUGGCUGGGUGGCUGGUGAUGCUGGUGACAAGGUGCAGAAUCUCAAGAGCCAGGAAAUUUAGAGGCUUGGAUCAGAUAGUGUGUAGCUAGGCAGCUGCUGCCAGCUGUGCUAAAACCAGGUAGUGAGGUGGGCUGUCAUUAACCUGAGGGUCUACAAGGCAGUCCCAGCAGAUCAGCUCAUGGCGAAGAGACUGAGGGGAAAGGCCCCAGUUCAUGCUGCAGCCCUCCCGGCAACCAGGAGGGCUUGGUGGCAGUUGUUCUGACAGCUGCUGAGGGCUUCAGCUGCCGAAAAAGCCAUUUGCUCAGGCCUACCCUGUCUGGCCAACUUCUACGUAUUUAAAGGCUCCUCCUUGGUCUCUGAGGCCCCCCCUCUCCACCUGAGUCCUCAGGCAAAGACGCGUCUUUGGAAGCACCGGCAACCGCCUGGGAGACCUUCGCCCCGUCGUCUGCCUGUCCACUGCUGCUGUAACCUGCCCACAGUCAUCAAGAUCAGUUAGCAAAUUCCCAAAUUAAGAUUCUGUUGACUUUGUUGUUCCAAAGGCUUGUUUUCAGCAGGAUGUUGUGCUUUAAUUAAAAAUAUGAGAGCUCAUGAGUAAGUAAAACUAUUUCUGAAUCUUCGCAAGGAUGUCUGAAUUGCGUUUCUUGCAUCUCACCGCAGGGGUUCAGCUCUCUAAGACCACUGAAAACUUUC